rnacentral:lncRNA from 1 species
UACCCGGGCUACAUGAUCAAACUACAAAAAAGCAAUCGUACUUAAUAUAGUAAUAAGAAUCCAAGUAAGCAAACUCAGAACUCACUACUGAUACAUUAGAUAAGAAUUGACUCUUUCUUUACAACCCGCGGUAUCUUUCUCACCAACCGUAGCCUAGCCUAUUUCUGGAAUUUCAAGUAAACAUAACAACUUAUUCUAAUUAAUUGAAACACAUGAUCAGAAUCAAACACUAAAUCCUUUGACUGAAAUCACUACCGGAAAGAAAUGAGCUGGGGCUAUAGCACCAAACACUAUUACUUGCAUUAUGCUGAUCCUGGCUUAAAGUCUACUGCGGCACUCUCACCUCACUGAAUCGACUCACACUACUCCAAUAAGCAAGCGGCGACCCGAGAACAGAUAGUGAAACUAAAGAAAAAACCAACGGCAAUAAGGCAAAGAGUUGACCAGCGGAAGAACCUGUGUACCGAAAAGUGUUAGUUGACACUUGCAGAAGCAGACGUUGGUUGAUUUAGUCUAUAAUUGGGUAAUAUUCCAUCAAACAAGUAAUGGCUUGCAGAACUCCCUUUAGCCACUGAGUAUGGACCUGGCAUGAAGAAGGAGGGACAUUCUCUAAGUCAGGCAAUCAGGCUUCUUUCUAGUGCUAAUCGGUGAAAGCUGUAAACAGGAAUAUUCUCUUUCGAGCGCCUGUUCUGAGAGACGAGAUACUUUCAUUGCACAGCUGAUUCUCAAGCCUAUUAUCCUAGUGUCCUGAUCCGGAUUGACUUCUCUCUACCCUACUUAGGUAUUGGUAUUUCUCCUGAUUGAUUUCCUUCUCUCUACCCUACUUAGGUAUUGGUAUUUCUCCUGAUUGAUUUCCUUCUCUAACGCCCACUUAUGAUUCCCUCCUUGACAACUUUAGCACCCGAACUCUAGGCCAAGGUCAAUCCAAUAACUUAUUAUUCAUGAUAUGAUUCUCGUCGCCAACAAAGAGAUAUCACACUGCGGAUUCU